UGAAAAUAGGCUUGAUUUAAGCCACAUUUCUCACCCUCCUCAAGCAUACCUAAACCACAUCAAAUUUCAUCAUUUCCAUACAUAUAUGAACAACCAAAACAUGCUAAUUCAUUCACAAUUUAUACCAUUUAUAAACCAUCCACUUAACUACUCAAAUCCAUAACCAAAACAUACCCAAUCAAUAUGCCAAAGUCAUCAAACUUACUUAACUUCUAAAUGCACUUUCUCAACAUUCUAUCAUCUAUUUCAUGCCUCAAAACAUACAAUUUCAUUAUCUCAUAAUCAAACCACAAUAUGUCAACUUUCAAGCAUCAACAUAUCAAUUAAUAACUAAUCAAGUGAGUAACCACCUAGCCAUAUCAACAACCAUGACAAACAUGCCAAAGUACAUGAAUACUUAUAUACAUCACAUAUAUCACUUAUCAAACACAUAAUUUAAGCCAACUUAAAUGGCCAUACAUACCAACAUUUACAUCAAAAGCAAGCCAAGUCUCAUGGCUAAUAUCAUGACUUAAAAAAAUACCAAAAUAACACUAGCCUAUACAUGCCAUAUACCAAAUAUACAAAGCUUCAAAAGUACCAACGAGAUGAUCGAUAGUGUGAUGAUGUUUCUCGAGUCCGAGCUAGCUUCGAUAAUCUAUAAAACAUGGAAAUAACACACAAAGUAAGCUUUAAAAGCUUAGUAAGCCAUGUAUAAAUAAAGCCAUCAUAUGAACAUUUGCAUAUCAAUUCAAAUAUGCUAAACAUAGCUAAUCAUAUUCAAAUUUACAAACCUUUCUUAUUGAACAUAUAUUCAAUAUCUUAAUCAAGUUCAUCAAAUACUUUCCCUUUUUAAUAUUCGUAUGAAUUUCAUACGUACCUGAGUCGUUUAACUCAUUAACACAUUCUUUCUUGACUUGUCUUUGCCCAUUGAAUCAUUCGGAAUCGUUAAGGAUACUCGGAAUCACAUAAAACUCGUACAAUGCCAUAUCCUAGAUAUGGUCUUAAAUGUUAUCACAUAUCGAUGCCACUGUCCCAGACAGGGUCUUACACGAAAUCGAAUAACGAUGUCAAUGUCCCAGACAUGGUCUUACAUGUAAUCACAUCUUGUAACUUAAUGUCAUGACAUUCGUAUCUUAUACUAUUCCUAAGGUUCGUACAGGACUUUUGGAUAUCGUAACUUUAUCGAUUCUUGCUCAUAAUUGUUCAUUCAACAUUUACAACCUUUCAAUUAUAAAUAUACACAUAUAAUUCAAUUUAAAGGCAUUCAUUUGUAUAUGAACUUACCUCGUAUUCGGGAUAAACGAAUUGGAUCGACUAUUCGAUAACUUUCGAUUUCCCUAGAUCUAAAUCUGAUUUCUUUCGUUCGUAGUAUAUAUAAAUUCAAAAUUAACUCUUUUAUUCCUCAAUUCAUUCAAUUUUAUCCAAAACACACAAUUUGAGAAUUUUACACAUUAACCCCUAUAAUUUCACAUUUUCUCAAUUUAGUCCCUAUUUCAUGAAAACACAAAAUUCAUGAAAUUCAAAUUAACCGAUGCUUGAAAAAAUUUCAUAGGGAGCUCUAGCAGCCUAAACUUUCAUUUAUUCACACUUUUAACCCACAUUUUUAUCUUUUCACAAAUUAAUCCCUAAUUUGUAUUUUCUCUAAAAAUCACUUAAUAAAACUUUAAUAUAUAUCAUCAAACUUUCAAAAUUCAUCAAAAAUAAUUCAAAAGCUCAAGCAUUCAUUAAUGGAAACUCACAAAUUCAUCAAAAAUUUUAGAAAUUAGGGUACGGGCUAGCUAGAUUACUAAGCAACGAUCAUAAAAACAUAAAAAUCAUCAAACAUCGAGCUCAAAACGUAUCUCAAUCAAGCCACACAAGUUCUGAACCCUAAAUGAGCUUCAAGCUUUUAUUUUCUUUUGAUUUUCUUUUAUUUUCUUUAAUUAACCUUUUAUUUUACUAAUUACCAUAAUAUCCUUAAUGAAAUUAUAAUAAAAAUUUUAUAUACAUGAUCAUAAAUGUCCAUUAACUAUUCCAAAAGUCUAAUUUCAAUAUAAGGACUUCACAUGUAAUCAACCAUAAUAAUUAAACACAUUUAACAUAUAGAAUACCAUUUUUGCAUUUUACGCGAUUUAGUCCUUUUUUGUCAAAUUGAGCUAUUAAACGAUAAAAUUAGCUACGAAAUUUUCACACAUAUAUAUUCACAUGCUGCAAACACAAAAAAUAAUAUUAAAAUAAUUUUACGACCUCAGAUUUGUGGUUUCAAAAAUACUAUUCUGAUUUCGCUAAAACCAGGUUGUUACAAGAUUACCUUAUUUUCUAAUACUUUCAAUUCAUUAAUCAUACACAAUGAUUUAAGACAAAAAAACCUUAAUUUUUGAAUGAAGAAAUAAACAAUUUAUUGGGAGGAGAGGGAUGCAAUUGAAAACCUUGAAAACUUUGGUUGCGAAUGUGAUUCGACAAUGGUGAAGAAGAAGAGAAAAUCUUGAGAGUUUUUCUUGAAAAAUUUUCUAAAUAAAAUUCCUAGGUUUCUGAAAAGAUUGACUACUUAUAGAACUUUUUUCCUAAUUGAAAUAGAAUUAAGAAUUAGUUUAUAAUUAUGGUUUAUUUAAAUUAAUGACUAAAUAAAAAAAUAGUUUUUGGUCUGGGCUAGUUUGAAAAUUCAGUACUUUAUAGGGAUAAAAAUAAAAAAUAAAAUAUUUUAGCUAAAUGCAAACAAGGGAUUAUGAACUUGAGACCAAAAGGAAAGCUAAGCUUUACCACUGAACUAGCAAACUCAUUCUUAACAUAAGCCUUCAAGAAAUUGUUUUUAAAGGUUAUGGCUAAGCAUUAAGGGAGUUUUUAAAAUAAUCGGCAAAUGGUGCAAAUAAAGGAGUUUAAACCUAGGACCUCUAGAAUAGGGGAAUAACACUUAACCAUCAAGCUUAAGGCUCAUUUCUUGUUAAUUAUUUAUUAAAAAUAAUUUUUAAGGUAUUCUAAGUUCACUAGGGUGUGAUAUAAAUAGAGGAUGAAGAGAAGUUCUACUGAAAUUAUGAAAAAGAUAGUUAUUCUAGUCAAACUAGGACUAAAAUUUGUAUACCUUAGUGUAUGGGGCUAGAUCAUUUUGCUGGCCUUUGGCGAUCCGUUCGUUCAAACUCGCCUAAGUCAGCCUUUACUCAACUGAGGAUUCCUUAAGAAGUCCUCCAAGGCACCAAUUGUAGAGCAGAAGCAAUUUAUGCCAAAAGAACAACAGAAAGAACACACAUAGAAGCGAUUUAUGCCAUAUCAAAUCCUAUUUAAUCUUUACAAGAUAUGAUUCCCUCUAUCUUCUAAAAGUAGUUACCAAAUUUUCAAUGGAAUUAAAAAAGGAAGGGUGUAGCUUGAACUUGGGCAAAUGGAAAGGGAAUUAGCAUGUUAACCAUUAGACCUAAGUCUAUUUCUUGUUUAGUUUUUAGUGUGGUUUUUAUCCUAGGGUGCUAAAUAUAAAAGGAAAAAAAAUUGAAAGGAAUGAGAUUUGAACCUAGGAUUUCUAGGAUGGGUGCACUAUCAUUUUAAUCAUUCGACCUAUAUAUUAUUUUUUGUCUAUUUAUUAAGAUUAACUCCUUAUAUUUUGGGGCAUGACAUUGCUAGAUUUCAAUUCCAGACUCAAAUAAUUGCAAUUUUCAAUUAGGAACUUAAUUGAUUUUAAAUUAUUUUACGUUUUUUUUCAUUUAUGUUGAAAAAAUUUUAAGUCAACAUUUUAACUAAAAUAAUUAACGAGGAACUUUUUUUUUUGAUUAAUUGAUAUAAAAAUAAAGAAACUAGAUUAUAUCAAAUUAAAAUAUAAAAAAUGUAAAUAUAAUAAAAAGACUAAAACCAAAAUUUCAAUAAUAGAUUGAAAAUUUAAGGCUCCAUUUGAUUUCUUACAGUAUUUUAUAUUUAUAUUUUUAGUUCUCAUUUUUCAUUUUUCAUUUUUCAUUUUUCAUUUUUGAAAUUUGAAAAACAUUUUUGGUAAAUAAGAAUACAAAUUUGUUUUGAAAAAAUGAAAACAUAAAAUAAUGCUUAAUACAUAGAAAUAUUAUAUUUUUUUAAUAUUAUAAAAUAUUUUUUAUAUAUUAUGAAUAUGUUAUAAAAAUUAUACAAUUAUAGAAAAUCAGAAAUAUUAUUAAAUAUUACUAAAACUUUAUGAAAAAUAUGAAAUUAUUAUAAAAAUUUAGAAAUUAUAGAAAAUUAUAAAAAUUAUUACAGCGAAACCAACAAGUGGUUGAGUGGUUCAAAUAUUGGAGACAACAUUGUUGGGAGGGGCAACCAAGAACCCCAAAUAUGGACCGUAAAACAAACAUGCAUAAGAUCAAAAAAAUAUAUUAAAACGAUAAAAAACCAAAAACUUAUAAAAAUUAUAAAAAAAAUUAUAGAUAUUUUAUUUUAAAGUUUUGGAAUCUUUAGUUUCGUUAAUAAGGAAAUAAAGAACUUAAAUUAUGAUGGUGAUUGAAUUUGUACUGGGUGUCGAGUGAGGUGUUUAAGUGACAAUAAGUUUAGUGCUUGGCAGAUUAAGGUGAGUUUAGUGAUGGAUUAAGAAGAGCAAUAAGUAUUAGUUUUGGUUGAUGAGGUGAUGCGAGAGAAAUUAAUAAAGAUAGAUUGUGGUAUGACGUAAGACAGUGUGUAAGGGAAGAUAAAAAAAGAGUAGUAACUUUUAUUCAAAAAUUUUUAAAAUUAAUACAAAUUAUUGAAAUAUUACAAGAAAUUUUAGAAAACUAUGUAAAUUAUUCAAAAUUUAUUAAAUAUAAUAAAAAUUCAAAAAUUGCUAUUUUUAUAUUUUUAAUAAACCUUUAUAAUAUUUUAUUAUUUUAUAUUAUUAUAUAAAUUUUUUAUAGUUUUUUAAAUAAAAUUUUAAUAAUUUUCUAUAAUGUCUAAAACUCAAUUAAGCUUCAUAAAAUGAUUAAAAAAAUCAAUUAAGCCUUCCACUUUUAACAAUUUUCAAGGUAAAAGUACCAUGAAAGCCCCUAUACUAAGAGUCAAAUUGUAUUUUACCCCCUCUAUUAAAAAAUGGGCAAAUUAGUCCUUACAUAAUAGAUCAAAGAGCAAAUUGGUCAUUUCUGUUUAAAAUUUCAUCCAUUUGUACUAUUAAAAACUGAUGUGGCUGAUAGAAUAAUCAGAUAUUGACACGUAACAUGCCACAUGUACCUCAUACUGACGUACAAAGAUCAAAUUUUUAUAGCAAAAAUGGAUAAAAAUUUUAAUAAAAGGGUCAGCUUGCUCUUUAGACCUAAUGUAUAAGGACUAAUUUGCCGAUUUUUUGAGUAAAGGGGACAACAUGCAAUCCAACUCCUAAUACAGGGGUCUCUAUUAUACUUUUACCCAAUUUUCAAUGACAAACACCACAUCAGUUGCCACAUCAGUAUUUCCCACGUCAACUAUCGUGUCAUCACUUAACAGGCCGUCAGGGGCUUCAACGAAAAACUAUAUUUCAAGAGCUCAAUUGAUUGCUAAUUUUUUUAUUAGGAGGUUAUUUGAUUGUAAUUUUCGAUUAAGGUCUUGAUUAAUUUUUAAUUAUUUUACAAGGGCUUUUUUUAUAUUUAAAUAUUUUUUUCUUAAAACUCGUCAAUGACAUUAUAAUAAUAGAAGGAUCAAACUCUGUCAAAUUGACUAAAUUCUAAAUUUGAAUAGUACUAAAAGGAGUAAAAUCAAAAUUUGACAAAUAUAUUCAAAAUCUAAAUUCCUUAUCUUUUCUCCCUUGCAUGUCUCGUUUUCUAAAAGUAAAUUUGGAGCUUUCAUAAUCCUGAUUCGACGACUAACAAGGCGGGAUUACAACAUUUUUAUAUACUAGAAUAGUGUUGAUUAUUUAUUUGUAUAAAUUUAUAAAGUAAAAAUUUGAAGGUAAAAAUAUGCUUUUAGUUUCUAUACAUUUAUAUAUUUAGAAUUUAGUUUCUAGCCAUUUCUUUCUGGCUUUAUGGUAUAAUAGAAACAAAAGUUAUCUUAAGGGGAUUAAGGAAUGGGUUCAAGAUAUAGUGGGAUUUAUAAAUGCAUACAACUUAGAAAUUGAGCAGUUGGGCAAAUUGUCGAUUACCUUGAAUAAUCCAAGCGUGUCUGUUUGGAAGCCUCUAAAGGAGGAUGUUAUAAAGGUUAACUUUGAUGCUUCUUAUAAUCAACAGCUACGCAUUUCAAGCUCGGGUAUUAUAGCACGUAACACGGAAGGAAUGGUAAUGGCGUCCUGUACCUAUCCAUGGGAGAAUAUUCUGGAUUUGACCAUGGCAGAGGCUCGAACGUGUUUGCAGGUGAUUACCUUUGUAGAGGAACUGGGUUUUCGUGAAGUUUGUAUCGAAGGAGAUGCCUUAAAUGUUAUCAAGAGAAUAAAUUCUACAGGAGAGGACAGAUCUAACAUUAGCAAUAUGAUAAACGAAAUUCAGAGAAGAGCACUUAAUUUUAGAAGUGUAAAGUUCAGGUUUGUACCCUGGGCGACGAACGUGUCGGCGCAUGGAAUGGUGAUGGAAGGCAAGAGGCAUGACUACCCCAUGUACUAGAUAGAGGAAGUCCCGAGGGAGGUGGAAAAGCUCAUUGAUAGAGAUAUGAGAGGAUUUGAGGAGAGUAAACAAGUGUGAAGGCUGAGUCCGGGCUCGAAGGCGAUUGAUAGUCUGAGGAACUCGAUGGCCUAAGAAAAAGGCUAGUUACUAGUGUGUUGGAGUACGAAAUGAUGGAAGGAUCUAAUGACCUUUUUGUUUUACUUAUGCACGGGGGAGGAUCGGAAGGAGUUCGUAGAUGAAGGGAUUUUUCAAAUCUGGGGACGUUUCAUUUUAUGUUUUUCUUAUUUUGUUUUCGGUUGUUGUGUUGGCUUUGUUAGGAUUUGUUUUUGUUUUUAAUUUUUAG
rnacentral:lncRNA from 1 species